CAAUAGCGUAUAUUAAAGUUGUUGCAGUUAGAACGCUCGUAGUCGGAUUUCGGGGCGGGCCGACCGGUCUGCCGAUGGGUACGCACUGGUCGGCGCGUCCUUCCUUCCGGAGACCGUUCCUACUCUUAACUGAGCGGGGGCGGGAGACGGAUCGUUUACUUUGAAAAAAUCAGAGUGUUUCAAGCAGGCAGCUCGCUCUUGCAUGGAUUAGCAUGGGAUAAUGAAAUAGGACUUUGGUGCUAUUUUGUUGGUUUCGGACACCGAAGUAAUGAUUAAAAGGGACAGUCAGGGGCACUCGUAUUCCGCCGAGAGAGGUGAAAUUCUCAGACCAGCGGAAGACGAACUACUGCGAAAGCAUUUGCCAGGGAUGUUUNCACUGA
rnacentral:rRNA from 1 species